UGCCCUAAAAACCACUCACAGCAGGGAUCGUUUUACCCCGGACACCAAAGAAAUCCUCCAGAUUUGAGCCACUCGGUGGCGAAACACGGACUGAAAGAAGAUGACUAGUGGAGCAACCAUUUCUGCGUGACUGCAGAGAGAAAACACAAAGAAAGGAAUUUAGAAUGACUCAGCCCGGGUGGCGCAGCGGGUGAGGGCCUCGCGAACAAUGGAAAGUCACACUGGGGCCUCAGAACCCGGGUCUACACCCUCAGCGCCAGAGGCUGCUGACCGCUGGGGUCAGCAGGGACACUAGGCAAAAAGUGACUUUCUUGUCCCUCAUUCCUUGCUUUUUAGCCUAAAAUGC
rnacentral:lncRNA from 1 species